AAAAUGACUCGAAUGAAACUGAAAGUGAUGAAAGUAAUGUAUUUGUUGUUUAUGACUCAAGAGAUCCCAUUGCACACUUGGACCUCACAACAUUUAUGGGAUGAAGAUUUACCUUGGAAUGAACUUUGAAUCCUUGGUGUCACAGAAAAAGAAGACAAGUUCCAUUAACUCCAGAUGUUUAGCAUUUUUCUUUUGAAAGGACAACAAGAUAUGAGAGCUACAUGAAGUAUACCAAGAGAUUUUUCAUGCCCAAGGCUGAGGCUACUUCGCUGCAUCUGUUUAUUAACAAUUCAUGUGCAUAUAUUUUAUAUCAGCAAUUAAUGCGCUUGUUCAUUUCGUGUUUAUUAUUUGUGUUAGUUCGCUAUCCUGCAAUCAAAAUUUCCAUGCUCCCAGAACAAUUAAUUGCCGUUAAUAACAUGGACUUAGCUUUAUAAAUAACUAUGUGGCUGCCACAUAAAUUUAUCUGAAAGUU